rnacentral:rRNA from 1 species
GAUGAACGCUGGCGGCGUGCCUAAUACAUGCAAGUCGAGCGAACAGACGAGGAGCUUGCUCCUCUGACGUUAGCGGCGGACGGGUGAGUAACACGUGGAUAACCUACCUAUAAGACUGGGAUAACUUCGGGAAACCGGAGCUAAUACCGGAUAAUAUAUUGAACCGCAUGGUUCAAUAGUGAAAGACGGUUUUGCUGUCACUUAUAGAUGGAUCCGCGCCGCAUUAGCUAGUUGGUAGGGUAACGGCUUACCAAGGCGACGAUGCGUAGCCGACCUGAGAGGGUGAUCGGCCACACUGGAACUGAGACACGGUCCAGACUCCUACGGGAGGCAGCAGUAGGGAAUCUUCCGCAAUGGGCGAAAGCCUGACGGAGCAACGCCGCGUGAGUGAUGAAGGUCUUCGGAUCGUAAAACUCUGUUAUUAGGGAAGAACAAAUGUGUAAGUAACUAUGCACGUCUUGACGGUACCUAAUCAGAAAGCCACGGCUAACUACGU